rnacentral:lncRNA from 1 species
ACAAUUCCUCUACCUCAACCUCCAAGUCAGUGGGAUUGCAGCCAUGUGCCAGCCAACCUGGCACAGGGCUUCUACUUUUGAGGCCAAGGGGAGGUAUGGACCUGGAGCUGAGUCACAUAGCUGUGAUGGGUGUCUUCUGUUCUACAGAGUAGCCAAGGCAGAGUUAUAAGGGAAGAUACUGCAAGGUUCUAGUUGCCAUCUCUGUAGUGAGUCUUCUUCCUGCCACCCUGGGUCACCCACACUGAAUCUCCAUCUUCCCUCCUGCAGCUGGCUCCUGCCACUUUGCAAGAACUUGGCAUGAGCCUUUACCCCCACUUGGUGGGCUGGUCUCUGGUCCUUGGCCCCUGGCAGGCUGUGUGAACAUGAGGGUGAGAACACUAGUGGGGUGCUUGAAUGGAGCUCAGGGCUCUUUGCAUCCCACACCUUGAAGUUGAUCUGGGGUGUUUCACAUGGUGCAUGGUGCAUGGUGCAUGGUGACGCAUGGCUGGCACUGUUAGUAGCUGCCCAGCUCUCCUAUGGUCCGUAGCCCUUGGCAAGGGCCCUCUUGACCUACACCACCCAUCUACACUUGGUCUUCUGCCAGCCUCAUCCUGUUUCCUAACUCAGUGCCAAGAGGGACACUGGUUUGCCCUGAGGAGCUUGGAAGGGGCCCUCCUGGGGCAGAUCCAGGAGGUGGUCCCCUGGGAAGGGUGUGGAUGAUGUGGUGGCAGGUGUUGGGGGUGCAAAAGACGUCGAAGUGUCAAAGCAUGUUGAGAGUUUGGGCGCAGGUGCACAAAGCCAGUCAAGCUGGUCAUCCCAAACUGGAGCACUAGGUGUGUGUAUCUCAGGAGCACAUGCACAUGGCAUAAGGUAUGGAGAGCCCACCCUGCAACUCUCAGCUACAUGGAAUCUAGCCAUCCGGUGGCUUCUCCCUGGGGGAAGCCCACAACUGCCCUGCCUUCCCCUAUGUCUUGUCCAAAGAGGCCACAAACUUCCCAGGACACAACAGCCUAGCCUCAAACCCUCCUGGGAAGGAAGCAUGCAUUCCCACCUCAAGCCUCAAGAUGUGGCCAGGUCCAGCUUGGGCUCAGUUCUCAGAUCCAUCCCCUGCCCAGGCGUCCAGUGUCCCAGCUCAGAAACCCCCUCUGGCCAAUCUCGGCCCUGCCUCCAUGUCUCUGUCUUUGGAGGACUCACUAGUGACUCUGGACACAGCUGGGGUGGAGCAAGUCAUCCUAGCCACAGGCUUCCAGCAUGCUCCACCCAAGCAGAAAGCAUGGAUAGUACCUGCUGCUGUCACAGACCAGAGGGACCUGGAGCACUGCUGAAGACAGAUCCUCCUCACUGACUCCUCCCCACCUUCCUGUCAGGUGGGCAUGUGGGAUCCUCCUCAAAAGAGGACACAGAGGCCCCCUCACUUGCAAAUUAAGGCAGCAGAUGUCCCCAGCAUGAAGACAGGAAAGGAUAAGGGUCCCCAGGAAUUCUCCAGGGAAAUGCAAAUGCUGUGCCUUGGGGGCUGACUCAGCAGAAGCAGGGAUACAUUGUCAAAUAUUGGACUGUGUUCUGAGAACCUGCAUUUCACAGUGUGUAGUGCAAGAAAGUGGGGAAAACAAGUCAGUGCACAAGGUGAAUGUACCCACAUCUGAAGCCCAGGUCCCUAUAAGGUGUGGAGCAGGGUCAGCCCAUAGCCUUCAUCACAGCAAGAAGAGAACAAAAGUGAAAACAACUGGUGCGUAUUGCAUCUGCAACAUGCGGGAUUCUUGCCAUCCCUUAAAUGCAAAAUAAGGAGAAGAAAAGAAUGAGGAAGAGGAGGAGGAAGAGAAGAAAGGAAGGAUGAAGAAAUGAGCCCAGUAUAGUCCAAAAGAGACAUAUAGACCCAGAGAGAAGCAUUGCUCCUGCCUGGACUUCUGACCCUCUGUGGCCAGGCAGAGUUGAGAGCAGGACCAUCAUUGUCCUCCUGAGCCAUCCUGAUGGAAGGCCUGGGCCAGGCAGCAUUGUUUCCAGUGUGAGCUGUUCUUGGCACUAUUGGUGCUGCUGCUGGGAAGCUUGGGAGGGUUAGGGAGCUCAGGGCCCUGAUAUUACAAGAUCCGUCUUCCCCACUAGACUGAUGAGGGCCUUAAGAGAGACUGUGUGUACUCAGGGAAAUCCCCUUGGUCCAGAACACUGGAGAGGGGGUUUAGACCUGGAAAGAUCUCAGGGGGAAGGCAGAGAUGAAAACUGCUGGGCAAGACCCAGAGUGGCCAGCAGUCUGGAAGUCUACUGAGAAUCCCACUGUAGGUCUGCAGCCCAGAUAUGAGCAAGAGAGUCAGCUUGCAGGCUGAGAGAAUGUGGGACGGGAGUCCCAGAGCAAACUCACUGCACAGUGGGAGACAGCAUUUAGUGAGGUGCUUCAGUCCAGAUAGAUCCUGGAGGAACUUGAGUCAGGACACACAUGGGCUUGGAGAUGAUAGACCAGGCUCUGAAGUGUAUGAGCUGGGCUGUGGGCAAUCUUGGGAAGUGGGAGGCAAAGCAACUUUCAGAGGACUUCUGAAAAAAGAGAGAGAGAGCUUUCUUUUCUAAUAUAGGUAUUUAAAGCUAUAAAUUUGCUGGACACAGUGGC